GAUCAGGAGGCGAAACUUUUCCGCCAGAAUUAACCUCUGCAGCUCCGACCUCGAACUGCAAUAAGAAAAACUCGUUUCUUUCUCCGAGGAUUGAUUCCAGAGUCCAGUUACCACUCAGGAAUCCCCCACAGUCUCCGACGCUGUUCCCGAGAAAGUGCCUGGAAGAAACCUAUUACUUGUUUCAUGAUGACUUAUUUCUUAUCCCCCUCCUGCUAUCCCUACAUCCAGCUCCCUGCUGCCUCCUGCCGCUCCUCCCUCUACUGAGGACCGAGACUGUGAAGAGUCAGAAUCUGGCUCUGGGAUUGACAGGGUGAGUUGGUUUAGAUCUCUGUACCCUGACAUCACACUGACACUCCUUCACUACAGCUGCAGCAGUGUCACAGUCUAGAUCUCUUCACACUUUCCUUUACUUCUUCCUCUGCCACUAAUGUUCCUGAUCUUUUCAAAUAAAGGCUGAUAAUUCACAGUGAUCUCUGACCACCACAGGAAUCCUGAGUGUCUUCAGCUCCUCCUCUGAGUUCAGAUGCUGAUGGCAUAUCCACUCCCUAACCCCACUACUAACCCCACUCCUCACUCUUCUACAUGUGAUCAUCAUCCCAGCUCAGAGGAGGAGCUGAAGACACACAGGAUUCCUGUGAUGGUCAGAUAGCAGCAGUGUCACAGCCUAGAUCUCUUCAUACUUUAUGUACCAUUUAUGUACGAUUCCUAACAGCCUUUUUUCCUACUGCUUGUUUUGUUAGUAAGAUGUCGGCGUUAACACUGUCAUAUGUAUUUAAAUUUGUAUUUAAAUCAGUUGACCAAUCACUUGUAUUUUAAUGAGUUCUGGUUUAAUGAUUUCUG